ACACAUAGGGUCUCCAUACCCCGUCCGGUAUGAGAGACCACAAUCCCGGUAGGGUUCCCUACGGACCCGGUCCGUCCACCAUCUCCCAGGAUAUCUAGUCAGGCUGAUCACAUUAUACAAUUAUCAAUUUACAUAACCUUUCAUUCCCCUUUUCCUCAGUCAACAUCAUCAAUUUACACACAAACAAGCAAAAUAGUAAUUUAUGCCAAACAAGACAACAUACAGCAUCGGUUUC
rnacentral:lncRNA from 1 species